AGGGGUAGGGGCAAGCGGAAGGGGGUGGUGGGGCUGGAGGAGCUGGAGAUGGAGGGGCGGCUGGGGAAGAAGCGGGGCGGGGGGUAGGGGAGGGGCGUGCGGAAGGAGGACGUGCUGGAGUGGCUGGCGCAGCGGCGCGAGCUCGAGCGCCGGGCGCGCCGGCGGGGCGUCGGCCGCGCGGCGUUCAUGUGGAUGCGCCGGUGCCUCGGGCCGCCGGCCUUCCAGUUCACCUGCCGCCUCCUCUUCGGCGCGCCGCCCCCGGCCCGCGAGUUCACCCUCCGCCGCGGCGUCCUAGGUGUCGGUCAAGUGCCUCCUUGUGCUUCGAACGCGGUGAAGUGCUUCCUCCUGCAGCUCCCAGUGGAAAGGGGAACGGCAAUUCUACCAACCAAAAGAUGGGCCAAGACUACUGACCUGACUGCAGCAACGUAUGUUCAACCGGUUUCGGCAGUGGUUACCGGACGGUAUAGACGGGGAGGGACGGGGAGUCGGGGUCGGCCUGGGGGUCCGCCAGUUUCAAGGGCACCAACAACUACCUACACACCGUUGCCGGAUCACAUAUGGUUACGUGAACUAAGUCCGCAUGCCUCCACACGGAAAGAGUAGAACUCGCCUCGGCAUAACACACAAGGUUAGCCUUUCGAUAGUCGGCGGUCGUGCAUAACAUAAGACAAAACUCCAGCUCAAGCGUACGUGUGACGUAUGACAGCCCGGACCUUUAGAUGAGUUAUCUGUACGUUAAAGAGGUACUUCGAGAUUCAAAAGCAGAGAGUGGUGCUAGGAACUCAUGACACCUCGUCGAAGAAGUAGGUCGGAGAACAAAAGCAGAAGUCGUCCUGAUGUUCCGCUUAACGAUGUAUUUGUCGUCUCUCUCUCGUACCCCUGCCGGACGGGGUGUAGGGUACUCCUUGUUGUGUGUCUAGUAGAUGUGCCCGUUGUCUGCGUGUUCUCUGUUUAUCAACCCUUCAAAGAGGAUGGAUCGCUCCGCAGGUAUCAACGGUCUCUGUUUGGGUUGAUCUUCUAAACGAAGUCUAGUGCCUUCGAACCCAACUACCUCACGAACAGAAAUCAAAAACAAAACUGAAACACUUUGAACGAUGGAUACUACUUUGACACAUUAUAACUACUUUGAUACAUAUACAUACCUACUUUGAACGAUGAUAACCAUUGUACACAACCUAUACACAAGCUAUAUAUACACAAGUAC
rnacentral:rRNA from 1 species